CAAAAAUAUAAAAUGUCCGGACACCUGACCCCCCAUCCUACGAAACAGAUUACCACAUCUAACAGUUAGGCCUAUAAUCUGGAUCUGGAUGUGUACGAUGCAGGGCCCUCCUGGGCAUGAACGCAUCGGAUGAGCCUGAGAUCGGGGCUACUGGAAGAAGUCACUACGCAACAGAUUCAGGAAUUGCAGGAAGUGUCAUGAACGUGAUAAUCCAUUAGGACAAAUGGAAGCAAAAAAAGGGGACUACACCCAAACCAGACAAAGCUGCAGGCAAACACAUGUAUGGCAUAAAGAAAGUACCUUCCUGCAUCCCCAGAAGGUGAGGAUGAAGAAACGAUCAAUGCUCACAUCAAGAUGCUUCAGAAUGAAUCCAGAAAAACAAGACAGGACAGCUUGAUGAUAGACAAUCUACUAACUUAUGCCCAUAGGCGCAAGGGUAUCAUCAACAGCAACUGGACUGAAUCCUACUUGAAGGAUAUGUACCCUUACCUUUUCCAUGAAGAUGAGAGUUUGAGAGACUGUCAGAGGACCCAAUUAAGCAGAAGUUGGAAGCAGGACAUUUGAAUAUGCUGAUCCAUUACUAGAGAUAUGUAAGACUCCCAAGCAAGGUUUGGAGCUCAAAAACCUGAUCUUGGCUGCAGCAGCAGAAAAUGAAGACACCAGGAAAAUGAUCAAAUCAUGUGGAGCACUUCUGUUGAUUCCUACUAUUUUUGGAGAGAAGGCAUUGCUUUGUCAGCAUAGCCAGGAUAAAAAACGGACCAAUCGCCAAAAUCAUCUACAAAAGUAAGCCCGACAGUGCAGGUCUGACUCUGAGCAGUGAUCAUGAAAAAUUCACGGAAAUUCUGCAAUCAUCCUAUAUUACAGCAGAGAAUGAAGUCAUCUGCGAGAAAACCACCUACCUCAUGUCAGCAGUCUCUCUGCUUAUGUCGGCCCAUUAUGUAUUCAACUGAUCAUACACCCCCAAGAUGGGUAACACCCUCACAUUCAUUCAGAAGAUUCUGAUGAACAUAGAUUCCACAUCUCAACCCUCAUCCAAGGUCGUAAGAAGCCUGUAUGACUUAAAUGCUGUCCGAAAUGCUGAUGCCAGUAGUUCUUCAGUUUAAGAGAAAUUAAUUACUUGGGUGAUGCUACUGCAACACAGCUGAUCACACUUUCUCUACGUGCAAUCACCUUAGGUGUUGUAUCUGUCUUUUAUGUGCAAAAUAGAUUGAAAUAGAUACGACAGGUUGACCGUGAAUUUAGACAUCAAGUAUGUGCAUUAUUUCGCUUUGCUUCAGUACAAUUUCAGUGGCCCUUGAAUUGGAAAUCUUUUCAUAUCCCAAGAAUUACGUAUAAAUGCUUAAUGAAAUUUUUGUCACAGAUAAAAUAGGAUUUUGCACACACAAAAAAGAAAAGAUAUUUGGACCCAAAAUUUUUACAGAUCAGAUGGUCAACAAUUUUUUUUUUUUUUUUUUUUUGGGGGGGGGAAUUGAAGACUAAGCUAUUAAUAUUCUACUUUUUGAUUUUUGUACACAUUUUGUUACUGUACAUGUAAAUAAGUUUAACACCACAAAUUUGAAGAAUUACAACAUUUUAAAGGUUCUCUAUGGAAUUUUAGUUAGUUUGUAGGUUUCAAGCAACUUAGUAUUUAAUUCCAAGAAUUAUACAAAGGCACUUUUCAAGAUUAUGGCUUCCAACAUCAGUACAUGAUGGAAACAAUUCUCAAUGUUUACAUUUAUUGAGAUGGUAAGCACAUGCAACUGAUUUGAAACUAAUUUUAUAAAUUUGACAAAGCACUGUCAUUAAUUUUAAGCCAAUCUGCACACUUCCAAGCAUGUCAAAGGUAUUGCUUAAUAGCCCAAUCACCACAAUUAUCAUUGCCUUUAAAAAAAAAUUGCACAAAAAUAUUUAAAUAGAAAAGGUCAGUAUCUGCUUGAAGAUACAGCUGCUAUAGGAGGCAGAUUUUGCGGAAAAUACCAGGGCUUCACAGUGAGAGAAAUGGUAUUAAGAAUGGGGGAUUCUGCGAAGUGCUUUAAAAAUU
rnacentral:lncRNA from 1 species